AGGUGCAGAUGGGAAGAAUGAGUGACAUCUUGAUGUCCUCUCUUUGAUGAGUCUCUCCCUUGGCAGCUUCCACUGUACUUUUAGGAACAAGCUUCAAUUUAUCUUGUACAGAGUGGAUCUGUGUCUUGGAGCCAGCAGAGCUGCAUUUAAAAGUGUGCUUCCAGCUUGAGAUUCUCAGAGGAGCAGCAAAGCGAAGAACAGAACACUGCCCUGAAUGUUUGGAGAUCUCAGAUGAGGGCUGAGUCAUCAAAUGUGACUGUCACCAUCAUGAUCCCUUGCAUUUAAGUUUCCAAAACACUUCUUACGUUCACGCAUUCAUUUGAUCUUCAUAAAAAUCCAGUGUGGUAAUUGGAGUAAGAACAUUUGCUUCAGUUUUCUGAUUAGCCUGAGCUAACUACUACCAAUCCUCCUCUUUUUGCUGAGGAAGACUGGCCCUGAGCUAACAUCCGUGCCCAUCUUCCUUACUUUAUAUGUGGGAUGCCUACCACAGCGUGGCAUGCUAAGCGGUGCCAUGUCUGCGCCCAGGAUCCGAACUGGCGAACCCCGGGCCGCUGAGAAGCAGAACGUGCGAAUUUAACCACUGCGCCACCGGGCUGGCCCCGUGAAUCUUUACAUGUUCCUGUCAGCAUAUUUGAAGGAGCAAUCACCUCUUUCUGACUUCAUGGGAUGGCCUACGUAGGGAAAGACCUUCACCUCUGGGUUAAUUGUAAGUCUGGGUGUGUCUUGUUACCAAGAUGGCAUGUGGAAACCAUUCAAGAAAUAUUUACCAUUCGAAUAAAGCUGGAAAGAAAAAGAAAAAAAGAGACGGAAAAGAGAAAAAAAAGAGAAAUAUUUACCACACAAGAAAUCAAGAUUCAACUUGAUGAUCCUCAACACAGCCUUCCCUACCCUCAAAUGGCCCCCACGAAUUUCUGCUUUGUGAACUUUAUUUUCUAUUUUGGCUGAAAAAGGCUACUGUUUGCAUGGUUACUUGCUUAAUAUUAGAAAUCAAGUAGAAACAGUGCUGGUGACCGAGAAGUGAAUGGGCAUGCUCAAAAAUGACUGGUGGCGCAACCAUUGACAUAAACUUUUAAAAAAGCAAAUCUGGUCACUCUUUAGUCGCAAAAAAAGAGAAAAUAUUGACUUUCAUCCUCAUAUUUAGUUGGUGUAUCGAGAAUCACAGGACUUUCUGAUACCAGCGUCAAUGUGGUCAUCUAUCUGGAAGUGUUCCUCCCUCAUUCUCUUUCAACAAGGAUCUUUGGUAUUUGUUUAGCAGUGUGGCGAUAGAAAUCUUGAGGACAUACGGAAGAAAUGGUGAUAGUUUGCUUACAAAAACCAAAUGGAGAGAAUUAACUACGGAGAAAGCUCAAGAACUCUCCUCUUUUAAUUGACUCUCCCUUCUACAAGGAGGAAUUCUAUCCAAGGACAAAAUAAUGUAAGUUUGACAGGAGUGUCCUCUAAGGUAUCUAAUAUUCAUGAAUCUAGACCAGCUAAUAAAUUCUCUUUAUUGUGUAAGCUAGUUUGAAAUUGAUUCUAUCAACUAAUAAGUUCUCUCUAAUUCAAAAGGUUAGCGUGAAGAUCAUUUGAAUGAUAUAGUGAAAUUGCCCAGCACUGUGAUUACUUAAAAAAUAUUAUUUUCUUUUUUC
ensembl:lncRNA